rnacentral:sRNA from 1 species
GGCCACUUCCGGGAGUCGGAAAGGAAGGCUCCGGGUCCACCCUGGCAACCCGGGUGUUUGGCUGGGUUCUAGCGUGGCCGUCUGUGUGGCCGGUGGGGGACCUGCGGUCGGAGUGGGAGGGCCAGUCUGCACCCAAGAGGUGGAAGAGGACGGGCUUUAGGCUGGAAGCGCCUUAGAGGAGCCAUUUUUCCAGGAUGCCUGGUUUGCUUUUAUGUGAACCGACAGAGCUUUACAACAUCCUGAAUCAGGCCACAAAACUCUCCAGAUUAACAGACCCCAACUAUCUCUGUUUAUUGGAUGUCCGUUCCAAAUGGGAGUAUGAUGAAAGCCAUGUGAUCACUGCCCUUGGAGUGAAGAAGAAAAAUAAUGAGUAUCUUCUCCCGGAGUCUGUGGACCUGGAGUGUGUGAAGUACUGCGUGGUGUAUGAUAACAACAGCAGCACCCUGGAGAUACUCUUAAAUGAUGAUGAUGAUGAUUCAGACUCUGAUGGUGAUGGCAAAGAUCUUGUGCCUCAAGCAGCCAUUGAGUAUGGCAGGAUCCUGACCCGCCGCACCCACCACCCCGUCUACAUCCUGAAAGGGGGCUAUGAGCGCUUCUCAGGCACGUACCACUUUCUCCGGACCCAGAAGAUCAUCU